GACCUCAAGGCAGAGACUGGGAGAGAAAAGUCCCUCUCACUGUAAGAGAAGAUCAGGUUCAAGACCACUUGAGGAACCCAAACUUACAUAAGCCUAUGGGACCUGAUGACAUGCAUCCCAGAGUCCUGAGGGGAUUGGCUGAUAUCGUUGCCAAGCAACUCUCCAUGAUAUUUGAAAAGUUGUGGCAGUCAGGUGAAGUCCCCAGUGACUGGAAAAAGGGAAACAUUGAACCCAUUUUUAAAAGGGGUAGAAAGGAGGACCCUGGAAAAUACAGACCUGUCAGCCUCUCCACUGUGCCUGGGAAGAUCAUGGAACAGAUCAUCCUAGAAGCUAUGCUAAGUCACAUGGAAGACAGGGAGGACAUUUGAGACAGCCAGCAUGGCUUCACCAAGGGCAAAGCUAGUGGCCUUCUAUGAUGGAGUGGACUACUGAUGUCAUCUCUCUGGACUUCUGUGUGGCCUUUGACACAGUCCCCCACAACAUCCUUCUCUCUAAAUUGGAAAGAUAUGGAUUUGAUGGAUGAACUGUUCAGUGGAUAAGGAAUUGGCUGGAUGGUCACAUCCAGGGGGUAGUGGUCAAUGGCUCAAUGUCCAGAUGGAGAUCAGUAACAAGUGGUGGCUCUCAGGGAUAUGUAUUGGAACCAGUACUGUUUAAUAUCUUCAACAACAUAGCAGGAUUGAGUACACCCUCAGCAAAUUUGCAGAUGACAUCAGGCUGAGUGGCACUAUUCAUAUGCCUGAGGGACAGGAUGCCAUUCAGAGGGACCUGGACAAGCUCAAGAAAUGGGACCAUGUGAACCUCAUGAGGUUCAACAAGGCCAAGUGCAAGGUCCUGUGCCCAGGUUGGGGUAUCAGUGCAGGCUGGGGGAUGAAGGCAUUGAGAGCAGCCCUGUGGACAAGGACUUGGGGUGCUGGUGGAUGAAAAGCUGCACAUGAGUCAGCAAUGUGCACUUGCAGCCCAGAAAGCCAGCUGUAUCCUAGGCUGCAUAAAAAGAAGUGUGGCCAGCAGGUCAAGGGAGGUGAUUUUGCCCCUCUACUCCACUCUGGUGAGACCUCACCUGGAGUACCACAUCCAGCUCUGGAGUCCUCAGUAGAAGACAGACAUGGACCUGUUGGAGCAGGUGCAGAGGAGGGCCACAGAAAUGAUCAGAGGGAUGUAACACCUCUCCUAUGAGGAAAGGCUGAGAGAGUUGGGGUUGUUCAACCUGGAGAAGUCUCCAGGGAGACUUUAUUGAAGCCUUUCAAUACUUAAAGGUGGCUUAUAAAAAAAGAGUAGGACAGACUUUUUAGAAGGUCCUAUAGCAAUAGGACAAGGGGUAAUGGUUUUAAACUGGAAGAGGGUUGAUUCAGACUAGAUAGAAGGAAAAAACUCUUUAUGAUGAGGGUGGUGAAACACUGGAACAGGUUUCCCAGAGAGGUGGUAGAUGCCCUGUCCCUUGAAACGUUCAAGGUCAGGUUGGAUUGGGCUUUGAGCAACCUGAUCUAUUUGAAGAUGCAGGGAGGUUGGACUAGAUGACCUUUAAAACUCCCUUCUAACCCAAACCAUUCUAUAAUUCUAUGAAAAGAGUGGCAAAGCUGCAUGCAUAAACAUACACACAGGUCCUAAGAUACAUAUACAUACAUACCACAAAGUAAGCAGCAAUCUUUCUUAUAUGUUUUGGGGUGCUUGGAGGCUUUUGCGUUGUUAUUUUUCAGUUCCUCACAGUCACUCGAAAUUAAAUUCCCUGACUGACUUUCAUAGUCAUGUCUUUCAAGCUACAAAGCAGCUUAUGCAAUUAGGGAGAUAAAACUCAGAGGCUUUUGUUGGGAAAGAGUUAGGAUUGGACAAUGAAUGUAUUUAACUUUUGAGGUUUCCUUUGGGUACUUUUCCUUAUCACAGGUCACCUAUUACAUAGACAAUGUUUUGGUAUAGAUAUAUCUAUCUAUCUGUAUGUAAGAAUACAUAUAUAUGUGCAUACAGAAACUGUCAAUGAAAUUUCAGUUUUGCCCACCUAUAUGACGCUGGCCUCAGAGCUUUUUUUUCAAGUAUGCUUGGCAUGAUUUUAUCAUUCCAUUCCAAUUUAUCAUUUCCGCUUUUUCCCUUAGGUUAACUGAUAAUCUGUAUGUCAUCAUUAAAAACUUUUAAGUAUCAGUUUGUUGUUAAAGUAUGCUGAAGCAGAAUAACAUAUCCAAGCAACUUCUGCCAUGCUAUGUUCAAGAGGUGGUACCAAAUAGGCACAAAUGCACCUUAUUCUGUAAUUUAACAAGGUGAUAGUUCUUUAAGAUUCCUUCAUUCUCACAGUAUCAAGUGAAACCUUUGAUCAAAACUAAAAUUACUUUUUUUAAUCCAUGAGGCAUGGAUAACUGAUUAGUAACUCAUUUUAAAUACUACUCUCCCUAUGGAGUAGAAUAUCAGUAACUCACACCUAUGAGAGGCCUGGCUUGCAAUUUAGUUUUCUGCAUAGAUAAAAAACUAAAGAAGGGAAGAAAAUGUUUUUCUGUGUCAGGAACAUCCUUCAAUUAUUAUUAUGAUAAUUUUACCAUAAUAAAAAGUGUCACACAAUAUUUUUUGGAUCAAUUAAUGAUUUUCUGAUCUCAUAGGAACUACCAUCUUUCUGACAAGUAAAAAAAAAACAUUAUUCUUUUGUAUGAACUGAGUAGUAGUAGGAGAAAGAAGAGAAUGAGAGGAAUGUUGUAUGGGGCUGCUUAGGGCUCAUCUAAGACAUUACUGUAUUAAAAAUAAGGCUUAAAAUCCUCCUAGUCCUGAAACAGAAACAGUGCUACUGACCUACUAUACACAACUUUAUGUUCUUCUAAAUGGAUGUGCAUCUUGGACAGUCAACUCUUCUGGCAUCUGACAUGACUGAGCAUAAUACUGCCUUUCAGGUUUUAGAUGCAGAAGAAAUCAUCAAUGACAGAAGUUUACUCGCUUACCUCCAAAAAAGAAAAGCGAACAGAGGACUGCAUGGACUGCAGGUGCUUGUUGGGGUUGGGCUCAGGCUCCUUGUUGUGAGACUGCAAGUUAAAAUAAUGUCAUCUCUAGUGAACAGAAGGUUUAGCAAGAGUCACAUUUUUUAGUGUAGGAGUUACAAAAGGAGUUUCAGGUAGAAACAGUCUUCCCGAACGAUUUACAGUAGCUACACAGUUUUUGACUUAAAAUGAAAUUGUUUUAAAUAAAACCAAAUAUGAAAUCUG